GGAUGCUACCUGGUUGAUCCUGCCAGUAUUCAUAUGC
rnacentral:rRNA from 3 species